UACGGAGGGUGCGAGCGUUGUCCGGAAUCACUGGGCGUAAAGGGUGCGUAGGCGGCUGCCUAAGUCAGGUGUGAAAUCUCCCGCUCAACCGGGAAACUGCGCUUGAUACUGGGCGGCUCGAGUGAGGUAGGGGUGUGUGGAACUUCCGGUGGAGCGGUGAAAUGUGUAGAUAUCGGAAGGAACGCCAGCAGCGAAAGCGGCACACUGGGCCUUUUCUGACGCUGAGGCACGAAAGCCAGGGGAGCGAACGGG
rnacentral:rRNA from 1 species